rnacentral:rRNA from 1 species
UGAUGGGGAAGCCCUUCGGGGCGAAGUAGCUGAUUUCACACUGUCAAGAAAAGCUUCUAUCGAGUUUAAAGGCGCCCGUACCGUAAACCGACACAGGUGGGUGAGGAGAGUAUCCUAAGGCCAGCGAGAGAACUAUUGUUAAGGAACUCGGCAAAAUGACCCCGUAACUUAGGGAGAAGGGGUGCCUGUCUAUGACAGGCCGCAGAGAAUAGGCCCAAGCGACUGUUUACCAAAAACACAGGUUUCUGCUAAGUCGCAAGACGAUGUAUAGGAGCUGACGCCUGCCCGGUGCUGGAAGGUUAAGGGGAUCUGUUAGAGCAAUCGAAGCAGUGAACUUAAGCCCCAGUAAACGGCGGCCGUAACGAUAACGGUCCUAAGGUAGCGAAAUUCCUUGUCGGGUAAGUUCCGACCCGCACGAAAGGCGUAACGAUUUGGGCACUGUCUCAACAAUAGACUCGGUGAAAUUGUAAUCCCGGUGAAGAUGCCGGGUACCUGCGACAGGACGGAAAGACCCCAUGGAGCUUUACUGUAGCUUGACGUUGGGUCUUGGUACUACAUGUACAGGAUAGGUGGGAGACUAUGAAGCAUGGACGCCAGCCUGUGUGGAGUCAUCCUUGGGAUACCACCCUUGUAGUACUGGGAUCCUAACCAUAGGCCUUGAAUCAGGUCUUGGAACACCGUCAGGUGGGCAGUUUGACUGGGGCGGUCGCCUCCUAAAAAGUAACGGAGGCGCUCAAAGGUUUCCUCAGCACGGUCGGAAAUCGUGCGAAGAGUGUAAAGGCAAAAGGAAGCUUGAUUGCAAGACAUACAGGUCGAGCAAGGACGAAAGUCGGACUUAGUGAUCCGGUGGUACCGCAUGGAAGGGCCAUCGCUCAACGGAUAAAAGCUACCCUGGGGAUAACAGGCUUAUCUCCCCCAAGAGUCCACAUCGACGGGGAGGUUUGGCACCUCGAUGUCGGCUCAUCACAUCCUGGGGCUGUAGUAGGUCCCAAGGGUUGGGCUGUUCGCCCAUUAAAGUGGUACGCGAGCUGGGUUCAGAACGUCGUGAGACAGUUCGGUCCCUAUCCGUCGCAGGCGUAGGAAAUUUGAGAAGACCUGUCCUUAGUACGAGAGGACCGGGAUGGACGUACCUCUGGUGUACCAGUUGUUCUGCCAAGGGCAUGGCUGGGUAGCUAUGUACGGAAUGGAUAAGCGCUGAAAGCAUCUAAGCGCGAAGCCAACUUCAAGAUAAGAUUUCCCACCGUAAGGGUAAGACCCCAGGAAGGCUACCUGGUUGAUAGGUCGAAGGUGUAAGUGCAGUAAUGUAUUUAGCUUAUCGAUACUAAUAGGUCGAGGACUUGAUCAA